UACAGAGGGUGCAAGCGUUAAUCGGAAUUACUGGGCGGAAAGCGCACGUAGGUGGCUUGAUAAGUUGGGUGUGAAAUCCCCGGGCUUAACCUGGGAAUUGCAUUCAAGACUGUCUUGCUAGAGUGUGGAAGAGGGAAGCGGAAUUCCAGGUGUAGCGGUGAAAUGCGUAGAUAUCUGGAGGAACAUCAGUGGCGAAGGCGGCUUCCUGGUCCAACACUGACACUGAGGUGCGAAAGCGUGGGGAGCAAACAGG
rnacentral:rRNA from 1 species